rnacentral:misc_RNA from 1 species
GUGAAGAACGUAGUGAAAUGCGAUACUUGGUGUGAAUUGCAGAAUCCCGUGAACCAUCGAGUCUUUGAACGCAAGUUGCGCCCGAAGCCAUUAGGCCGAGGGCACGCCUGCCUGGGCGUCACACGUCGUUGCCCCCCCAUCUACUCCUUCGGGAUUGCGGGGGGCGGAUGAUGGCCUCCCGUGCGCCUCGCCGCGCGGUUGGCAUAAAUGCCAAGUCCUCGGCGACGCACGCCACGACAAUCGGUGGUUGCGAAACCUCGGUUGCCCGUCGUGUGCGGUCGUCGCGCAUCGAGGGCUCGAAAAAAUUGCCGGGUUCCGGCUCGGCUUUCAACGCGACCCCAGGUCAGGCGGGGUUACCCGCUGAAUUUAAGCAUAUCAAUAAGCGGAGGA